rnacentral:rRNA from 1 species
GACGAACGCUGGCGGCGUGCCUAAUACAUGCAAGUAGAACGCUGAAGAGAGGAGCUUACUCUUCUUGGAUGAGUUGCGAACGGGUGAGUAACGUGUAGGUAACCUGCCUUGUAGCGGGGGAUAACUAUUGGAAACGAUAGCUAAUACCGCAUAACAAUGGAUGACACAUGUCAUUUAUUUGAAAGGGGCAAUUGCUCCACUACAAGAUGGACCUGCGUUGUAUUAGCUAGUAGGUGAGGUAAUGGCUCACCUAGGCGACGAUACAUAGCCGACCUGAGAGGGUGAUCGGCCACACUGGGACUGAGACACGGCCCAGACUCCUACGGGAGGCAGCAGUAGGGAAUCUUCGGCAAUGGGGGCAACCCUGACCGAGCAACGCCGCGUGAGUGAAGAAGGUUUUCGGAUCGUAAAGCUCUGUUGUAAGUCAAGAACGGGUGUGAGAGUGGAAAGUUCACACUGUGACGGUAGCUUACCAGAAAGGGACGGCUAACUACGUG